AGUUAAUGAACUUGUAAAAGUAUAUAUUUUGAAAAUAUAAAAAAGGGCUAUACUCCCUAUUAACUU
rnacentral:tRNA from 1 species